GGGGGCGACUAGGUUUCGACUGGAGUAGUCGGGGCUAUGUGCAUGUCGGUAUUGCCAACGUUAAUAGGCUUCCUACAAAUAAACGCAAAUAAUACAAAUUACCGUCCUGCUUACGCUGUAGCGUAGCGGACUGCUCUAUCGGGGAUUGCCAUCUUAACCGAUGGAGUAUCACAAAUUGGUGGCUAUACCUAUAUGGGAGCCAAACCGUAUGGGUGAAAUCUCUGGCUAGUCUUGUGUAGUCUCGGGUGUCUGUUCGAAGCAAGAUGAAAUCUAAACAGCACCGUCUAAACAUGUAGAGUCAUAGCUCUUGCUAUUUCAGGACUGGGGUUCGAUUCCCCACGCCUCCACCA
rnacentral:tmRNA from 1 species